UGAGUGAGUAGCAUUCCUGCUAGCAAUCCAGACAGCUUUCGUUUGAAAAAGUAACAGUUUUAGUCACUGGAUGUUAGGGACACGCACAGAAGCUUUGGGUGGGAGCGCCAUGCCGUCACAUCGGAUCCUCCCACAGGCUUUUGGAGACGAGCAGGAUCUUAUGAUGGCGGCAGCGCGCGGACACUACAAUAAUGCAUUCACUUAGUUAGGCUGCUCAAAUGUGCUUCAUAGGACAUCACUGGAAAUCUGUUUAAAUGAUCAUCUUUAUAGGAAAUGAAAGGAUUGUGCCUGUAAAUGUCCAUACCUGUCGUAACACAUCGGAGCGCGUGUGUGUAAUUUCAGGGUAAUACCGAGUGCUUGGUAUCUGGUUCAGAAGCUCAUUCGUCAUGCAGACAAUAAAGAGAAAAUUGUUGCCCGAUGCUGGAAAUUUAUGGUUACCCUUCUUUGCCCUAAUAACUCACGCAGUGUCACGCGCUGACAGCUUGUGCAGAAAACAGUCACACAUCUUUACAUACUGAAGAAAGACUCUGUGUUAAGCUUGUUUAAAAUGGCCGAUAUCAACACUAGUGUCUGUUUGAAUCUGUGUACAGCAGUCUUCCCAGUAUUUGC